GCGCGAGUGGUGGAACAGGCAGACACGCUGGGUUUAGGUCUCAGUGCCCUCGGGUGUGCGGGUUCGACUCCCGCCUCGCGCA
rnacentral:tRNA from 1 species